AUACGGAGGGUGCAAGCGUUACUCGGAAUCACUGGGCGUAAAGCGCGCGCAGGCGGCUAUUUAAGUUGGAUGUGAAAGCCUACGGCUCAACCGUAGAACUGCAUCCUAAACUAUUUAGCUAGAGAGCGGGAGAGGAAGAUGGAAUUAGUUGUGUAGGAGUAAAAUCCGUAGAGAUAACUAGGAAUACCAAAAGCGAAGGCCAUCUUCUGGAACACUGCUGACGCUGAGGCGCGAAAGCGUGGGGAGCAAACGGGAUUAGAAACCAUAGUAGUCC
rnacentral:rRNA from 1 species